rnacentral:rRNA from 1 species
GACGAACGCUGGCGGCGUGCCUAAUACAUGCAAGUCGAGCGAAUCUUUGGGAGCUUGCUCCCAAAGGUUAGCGGCGGACGGGUGAGUAACACGUGGGCAACCUGCCUGUAAGACUGGGAUAACUUCGGGAAACCGGAGCUAAUACCGGAUAAUUCAUUUCCUCUCAUGAGGAAAUGCUGAAAGACGGUUUCGGCUGUCACUUACAGAUGGGCCCGCGGCGCAUUAGCUAGUUGGUGAGGUAACGGCUCACCAAGGCGACGAUGCGUAGCCGACCUGAGAGGGUGAUCGGCCACACUGGGACUGAGACACGGCCCAGACUCCUACGGGAGGCAGCAGUAGGGAAUCUUCCACAAUGGACGAAAGUCUGAUGGAGCAACGCCGCGUGAGCGAUGAAGGCCUUCGGGUCGUAAAG